GACACUCGUAUUACUGUAGAAGAAACUGCAUGUUUUCAUAGCAACAGCAGCAUGGCUAAACGCAAGUACGACAGCGAGUACAUUAAAUAUGGAUUUUCCUACAUCGAAGACAAAGGAGUCCAAAAGCCUCAGUGUAUUUUGUGUUGUGAGGUACUGGCAAGUGAAAGCAUGAAGCAUGAAUAAACUUUUCGAGCGGUUUAGCGAUUACUUUCCCGAUAAACAACCCGAGGACGACUGGGUGCGCGACCCGUUUGGAAUAAACAUGGAAAGCAUCACGUUGCCUAGCAGCGAUGAAUGUCAGCUGGUGGAGCUAUCAUGUGACCGCACUCUCAGAAAGAAAUUCACAGAGGACACUCGCAUCUGUAGCCGCUGACCGUGUUGAUGCACUUUCCGACUGUACACGGAGCCGACAGGCAUCCGUCCACGUCCUCGUCGCAGAGUUCCCCCCGUUUACCCUCAGGACAGACGCACAGUGAAGGAGCUCUGGGCGUUGCACUCGUCGGACAGCAUGAAGCGGAAGGAGCGUCUCGCCUGAUGCCCCUGCACCUCUGGAAGCGUUGGGACCCUCCAGAUGAGGAGGCCGGCGGGGGACAACAUGGCGCCCUCCGGUCCCUCCUCUAGCUGGAAGAGCAGCGCCGAGCCCUCGGGGUCUGACGCCGCAAACUGGAAGACGAAAUUCUCCCCGGCGAACGUCCGCAAGUCGCCUUGAGGCUGGUGGAAGGCCGGCGGCUCGUUGACUGAAAACACACAGAACAGACUGAGAUGUAAUUUGUGAUUUGAGUCUCUGUGUACAAAUACCAGAGAUUAUUACCACCUUCUUAUUCCCCACGCUCUAGCUACAAGUGUCUGAUGACAGAACCUUCCUGUUCCUGAAACAAAGUCUUUAUAUGCAGGCUUGGUUUGGCAAAAACACCCCUCCAGGCUGUUCCUGGAAGAGUCAUUGUAAACACACAUGUUGAUGCCUUGGGGGAGAUUUUCUUUCCAACUGUGGCUCUCAACGGCCAUUUCACCAAGAUCAUGUAGCGUCCCCGGCUGAGAUUUACCACAGAUGUUCAAGAGGAAGAAAGCGAUGAUAAUUCCAGGAAACACCUGCUUCUUAGUCAAGGGUGAAGAAAUCAACAAGACUCGUGCUAAUAAUAAACUCCUAAACUAACAGUAUUGAAAUCACAAAAAGUCUGUCAGUGAGAGCAGUUAAACGACAGGUCAGGGCAUGCUGGGAAACCUAAACCUCCGCUCCUUUGAUCUGCUAAUGGAGACAAACCGGACCUCAGUUGGACAGCUAGCCCAGCAGCAGACUACUGCCACUGCACUAAUACAACCAGGUGAACUUGGAAGUUUCGGGAUCACACAGGAGGCAAGGGCUGCUGGGAUUGGAGUGUCCUGCUGCGAAACACAUCCCGUCGAUGUUACACGUCCGCUCCUGGCAAACAGAAAAAGUGGCGUGGCAGCUCAAGUCCGGAGAGUCGAUGAAGCCGAGGCCGAAGACGCGAACGCUACGACAGUCGACGGCUCGGAUGUCACAGAGUCCACUGUUCUCCAAAUCGGUUAUCUCGACUGGCUGGCCUGGGGGAGGAGAGAUGUUUUUUAUUGAGUAUAUUUCAAGUCUGACCUGGAUCGUGGACACUCAGAGCCAGAGGGACUCCACACUGGUGGUCGUGGCCGAAGCAGGGGAUGGGCACAGUGCUGUGGACGGUCACCUCAUGCUCUUUACUGUUCUCUGCCAUGUGGAGUGAAUCUGGAGAAAACUGAGGAGACACACAGGCUCUAGGAAUCCGUUUAUUUACCUACAACUGACCACAAGUGAAGGAUUUCUGCUGACGGACUUCACGUCGCCUCAGGAAAAAAGGCUUUGUUUUGGCCAGAAAUGCCUGGUAUUCCUGCUGCAAAGCUCUGCGAGGACCCUCAGUGUUUGAUUUUACGACGGCCCGCCUUAAAGUUUACGACUGUGAGCUUUGAUGUGUUGUUGGACACCUCGGAGACAAAGAUGUGAGGAGGAUGGAGGACGGGUUGGACAGAAUGAAACAACUGGGAUUUCUUACUGUCAAGUACUAAUUUAAUUUGCUGAAGCUGCAGGAAUUCAUGUGUAAAAUUCUGCACUUUUUUGUCGCAUGUUGUUAAAACCUGACAGCUGUGAAGACAACUUUUAUGUGACUUUUUGUGCUAAAAUCAUAAAACUUUUGUGCAUCUUUUACAGUUGUCUUUUAAAAUCGUGACCACAUCUUACACUGUAAAAAACUGCAUUUUAAAAAAGUUUUAACUUGAAACAUUUAAUGCUACUUUACAGAUUUGACCUGUUUGUUACAUUACAGAAAACUCAAAAAAUCUCAGAUGAAAAUGAUUAAUUUAAAUAUUAACUGUCUGCAAAAAAAGGGUAAAAACUGGAAAUAAUGUUCACAUCGAAACUUGGUUUUGUUUUUUUUGUUGUUUUUUUUUUUUUUACAAAUUAACGUGUUCUCUUACAAUAUUUGAAUGUGAAAUUAAGAUUUUUAAUUUUUAUUUCUUUUCAUUUUUUCAGAAAAUAACUAGUAAAAUCACCAAAAAAUAUUAAUUUAUCUGGUAUUUUCUAGCUGUUUGAAAUCAGGGAAAUUUUAAAUAA